UGGCAUCUACUUCAUUCUUGAGAAAACUCUUAACAAAAUUACUUUACUUAUGCUAGUGACUACUUGACUGAACAAGGUCUCUUGCAAAUAAACUAACAGCUUAAGAUCGUACUUGCGCAUGUAUAAUCUAUUAAAAAAACACUAUUAUAACUAUAUAGCUUGACAUAAUAUUUUUAGUACACACACAGCAAAGAAGGGCUAUGAUGGUACCAUGUUGAAUUGUCAAGCCAUAGGUUCUUGAAUUCAUAUACUAUAUGCACUAAAAUUUCAAUGGUAAAUUGUAAAAUCUUAACAUGAAUCUUCAAAUUGUAACGCAAAUUGCCAUUUAUACCUAUGAACAUAAUAUGUAUGAACAAACAAAUGAAAACUAAUCUAUAAUUACAGCAAACAUGUAACUGAAAUUGAAAAUUAUAAGCUCUUGUACAAGUCAUAAGAACAUGUGGCAAAUCAACAAAAUGGAGUCAUGCACCAAACUUCAGAACCAGAAGAGAGUGUGAACAUACGAGAAAAUUAUAAGCUCUUGUACAAGUCGUAAGAGCAUGUGGAAAUUUGUCUGGACUGUCCUAAUAAUUCAAUCCUGAUUAUAGAUAUCCAGUCCUGGAUUAGUUCUGACUUCUGAAGAUUCCUCCAAAUUGAUCCUAGUAUCCCACCAUAAUAUGUGAUAUACUACCACAAAUAUCUAAGAUAUUCUAACACUAUGUCGUCCUCAGAUUAGAACUAGGGUUGACGGGUUUGUAACACAAUCACUUUGGGAAUUAGUGAUAGAUUUUCUCAAUGAGCGUUUCAAUAUUUUCCCACUGAUUCUGUUUUGACUAACCGCAUUAUGAGCGUGACAUUUCGGAGUUGGAACUAUAUUUUGUUAUAGUAAACAACGAAUAUUGAGAGCAAACAGAAGAGGAGCUGCUUCCAGGGGGAAAGAACCUUCGUGUCACUAAUGAGAAUGUCAUUACUUUCAUCCAUCUUGUGGCCAAUCACCGCUUGAAUUUUCAGAUACGUCAACAAAGUUCAAAUUUCUUGAGAGGACUUCAGCAACUUAUUCAGAAGGAUUGGAUUGAUAUGUGUAAUGAGCAUGAACUUCAGCUUCUGACAUCAGGUUCACUUGACAGCUUGGAUGUUGAUUUGCGGCAGCGUACAAACUAUGCAGGAGGCUAUCAUAGUGUAAGGUGACUACUUUCCUUUGGAACAAUCUAAUUGGAGUUCUUGAUGAGCACUGGGUUUGCCAUUCAACAUUGGAUCAAUUAUGAUGCCUCAUUCAAAGGGUCCUGGUAAAAAUAAGGAGACAAUUUUCGUGACAGUGUUUAGUCUUUACAGCCCUUUAGAUUUUAGAGCAUAUCAUUUGGUUGGGGGCAUAGUGAUCACAUCCUUAAGGGGGCCUCUUUAUAAACCUGUUACAUAAUCUGGUUGUGUUUAUAUCUUCUGGUUGCUGUUUCACAUAAACUGCCUCCAAUGUGGUUUUUUCUUUUCGCCACACCACAUUGGAGGAUAUCUUGUUCUCUCCCUAAUUUUACUUUGAUAAAACUUUUCUAUAUAAAAAAGGCGUUUGCUGAUCUUGUAUCUUAUGCUUUUUAGUUUUGCCAUUUAUCUAGUCUAAAUACCUUUUGAGAGUCCGAAUGUUUUGUGUCAUGAUGGGAAGGUCAACCAUUUUGGUCUUGAACAGUGUUUUUUUUUCUUUUUUCUUAUUUGACUUAUGAAUUCUGACGUGUGAUCCCUUCUGUUAGGAGCAUUAUGUUAUUGAGAUGUUCUGGGAAGUUCUCAAAGGUUUUUCUUUAGAAAACAAUAAGAAAUUUUUGAAGUAAGAUGUACAUCGCUAUAGGAUUUAGUUGCUCUUUUUAUGGCAUAUGUUAGUAUCAAUUAAGAAUUUAUUGUCUUUACAGGUUUGUGACAGGUUGCUCUCGGGGACCAUUGCUUGGAUUCCAAUAUCUUGAACCUUUGUUUUUCAUACAAAGGGCCGGUGGUAAUGAUCCGGAAGAAGCUCUUGACCGAUUACCCUCAUCAGCUACGUGCAUGAACUUACUAAAGCUAUUGGAACUGAACUGAAGCUUGCCUUUGCAGUUUCCAUUGCGUACAUGGAAAUUUGUUUGUGUCUCAAAAUUAAAGCUAUUCGAACUGACAUGAUUAAGGAGAAAUUCCGUUAUAUCAAUUAAUAGUAUAUAUUAUGAAAUAAUUUGCAAUAAUGGAAGCCAUUUUUUCUUGAAUUUUCUCUCCAUUAGGACUAUGAAAACAGACAGUUUUUGAGCCACAAUAAUGGAAGCCAUUUUUCUUCAGUCGUAUUCAUGCAUCUUCACAUGACCUUGAUUGAUAGUGCAGGUUGGAUUUUAUUUUAACACGUCUAUAUUUUCUUUUAACUAUUUUCUCUGACAACUUCAAUGCAGUAAAGAGCAGCUGGAAACCAAAUUACUGUAUGCCAUAAACGCUGAUGCUGGCUUUGAUUUGAGUUAAAAGGAAGGAGGUGCAAUUUACCGCAUGGUUUUGUUUCCAUAGCAGUAGAGGAUUUACUCACUUAAAGACAAUCAAGUGUCAGAGCGUCACUUUUAGAAUGUAUAAUAUGACAGAUCUAACUUAACUCCGACAGUU